rnacentral:rRNA from 1 species
UACGGAGGGUGCGAGCGUUAUUCGGAAUUACUGGGCGUAAAGCGCGUGCAGGCGGGAGAGCAAGUCUGAUGUGAAAGCCCGGGGCUUAACCUCGGAAGUGCAUUGGAAACUGUUUUUCUUGAGUACUGGAGAGGAAGGGGGAAUUCCCGGUGUAGAGGUGAAAUUCGUAGAGAUCGGGAGGAAUACCAGUGGCGAAGGCGCCCUUCUGGACGGUAACUGACGCUGAGACGCGAAAGCGUGGGGAGCAAAC